rnacentral:rRNA from 1 species
UUGUCUUGUAAUUGGAAUGAUGGUGACCCAAACCCUCACCAGAGUAGCAAUUGGAGGGCAAGUCUGGUGCCAGCAGCCGCGGUAAUUCCAGCUCCAAUAGCGUAUAUUAAACUUGUUGCAGUUAAAAAGCUCGUAGUUGUAUUUUUGCGUUGACGGUUUGACCAUUUGGUUGGUUAUUUCGUUUUCGCUUUUGGGAAUUUCCCUUUUUACUUUGAGAAAAUUAGAGUGUUUCAAGCAGACUUUUGUCUUGAAUACUUCAGCAUGGAAUAAUAGAGUAGGACUUUGGUUCUAUUUUGUUGGUUAUUGAACCUUAGUAAUGGUUAAUAGGAACGGUUGGGGGCAUUCGUAUUUAACUGUCAGAGGUGAAAUUCUUAGAUUUGUUAAAGACGAACUACUGCGAAAGCAUUUGCCAAGGACGUUUCCAUUAAUCAAGAACGAAAGAUAGGGGAUCGAAGACGAUCAGAUACCGUCGUAGUCCUAACCAUAAACUAC